rnacentral:miRNA from 1 species
UUAUUCUCUCUCCCCUACCACCUCCCUCUUCCCUGCCCUAGUGCAGGCACGGAGAGGGUGGGGGGGCCGACAAG